AAAAAAGAAAAAGAAACAGAUUGCAGUUCAAGAGCGGGUGCUUCACAGAAUAAGAGUAUUCAAAAAAACUAACACUAAAAAAGUGAUGGAUAGGUAUCAGAAAGUGCAGAAGCCAAGAGUUGAGACUCCUAUAAAGGAGUAUGAGAUCAGAAUAACAACACAAGGAAGAUUGAGGAACUACAUUACUUAUGCUACCACUCUUCUCCAGGAAAAAGGAUCUAAAGAAAUUGCUCUCAAAUCUAUGGGCAGAGCCAUUAGUAAAACAGUAAUAAAGAGAAAGAUCGUUGGACUUCAUCAGAUAACAUCGAUUGGUUCAACGGAUAUGUGGGAACCUUUAGAAGAAGGACUUGUUCCGUAAAGUAAGAUGAAAUAUUUUUUCUGGCUUGGAAUGUUUGGCAUUUUGCUCAAUUUUCUUUGUUUAUUACCUAAUGCAGCCUCGAGACUACUCAUCAUGUGUCAGUCAUAACAAUUAUCCUUUCAAAGAAGGAGUUAGAUACGUAAUCAUGAUUUAUGAGCACCGCAUUUAGGAAGUGAACUAAUUAACUUGUGAUCAAUCAAUGAACUACGACUCAAUACCAUACUAGUCAAAAUGCUUUUUUUCAGGCUAUGGCUUAAAGACGCAUGAAUUGUACGUUUCAAAAGUUUGUUCAAAUUUGCAGAUCAACUGGUUCAAUCCCCAUUCAGGGCCAGGGCCGAGGCCAAGGACAAGGACGGGGUAGAGGUCGUGGUCAGGGUAUUAAAUCAAAUGGUCCUCUCCAGGCACCAGCUGCCUAUGUUUGAAUUUAGAUAUAGAAUGUUUUUUAUGUCUGCUUUUAUUGAAAAUUUCUUACUUUAUAUAUAAUGCAAGGAAGGACAUUGG